GCCGGUCCUCGGUAGUGGCCCCCGGGGCAGGAACCCCGGGUGCUUCGAUCGAAGACCGGC
rfam:Streptomyces albus strain DSM 41398, complete genome.